GAAUGAUGAGACCUUUUAGAAAAUCAUUAGCAGUGCUGUCUUGGCCAGCACCUUAAUUAGACUUUUUAUGAACUUGGGAAUUUCAGUAAAGGUGACAUUUGCAUCAGAGAAUUUUCCCUUUUGUUUUUCAAUAUAUGAUCAUUUAAGAGAAUACAGAUCAUUUAUGCUGGCAUUAAGAGCUUUUCAUUCUUCUCCAGGUUCCAGGUAUCAUUCAUGCAAAUUAAUUCAUACAGCCAUUAAAAAGCCUAUUAAUCUCUUUAAUAUCCAAGAGCCUACUGACUUAAUCAUUUUUACCUUUUGUUAUGUUAGAAGAACUUGCCAGUUUUCUUGCUAUUAACCUACAAAUUUCAUGAUUUCAUCAAGUUAAAGCCCAUUCUUCCAGAGAGAAAGGCAAGGGUGACACAGUUAUGAUAUUCCCAUAUGAGUGGAGUGAUGGCAUUUUUUUCAGUUACAUGAGCACCACUAAUGGUACAAGGCAGACAGCAGUGGAGCAUCAGCCUGCAAAAAUAACACCCCAGGAAAUUUUUUAAGAUCAAUUUGGUUGAAGUGGUGGGUCAAUCAGAAGCCAGCUGCUAUGACAAUAUCUUUGAAAAACCCACAGGACCUGACUGGACCAGUGAUGAAUCACAUGAUGACAAACAGUGUGAAGAGAAGACAUGGGAGUGGAAGCACAUGAGAUCUCUGAUGGUGUUUCCUCUGCACAUUAUCCACUGCCACCACAAAUCAACAUAAACUUCUGACUACUGAGAACAAACUCCUGAAAGUAAUACCAAUACCCAUUUUCUGAAGUCUACCAUUGGAUUCAGCUUUGCAGUUGAAAAGUGUGGAAGCUUCAUCAGAGGCUUUUCUAAAGCAUUUAUGAUUUCAAGCAAGCACACAGCAUUGGAGUGGCUCCUGAUUAAUUAUGACUUGCUGCUGUGAAUUCUGGACCUGGCAUGCAAGAUUUCAAAAGUCUGUCAGGAGUGGCAGUGUAAGCAUCCUGCUGACACUAGAGACCAAAUGUCUCCACGUCUGGUCUACAGUAAAGAGAGAAGGCAAGAGCAAGAGCUAAUGAAUUUCAGAACCUUUCUUCUGUGAUUUAUUGUGAUGUUGAAGGGUCAUUGACUUUGAUAACAGUGGCUUAAGCAGGUUUUUGGGGAAGAAAUAAUAAACUCUGACUGAUGUGAGCUAAUUAAGGUAAAGUGUAGAUGAAAAACACAAAAAAAGUGUUGAGUUGCAAAUUUGUGGAAUCAUGUCCUUAGUUUUAUCGCACAGACAUCUAAAUUUUGUGAACAUUUCUUCUCUCUUUAAUCCCUACACGUAAUUUAGUGUACACAAGUCGCACCUAAGCCUCAGUCAAGUUUUUCACACGCAGAUCCAGACAUAC